rnacentral:tRNA from 1 species
GGCGGCGUACCCAAGUGGCCUAAGGGGACGGAUUGCAAAUCCGUUAUCCGUGGGUUCGAAUCCCACCGCCGCCU